rnacentral:rRNA from 1 species
GGUGAAGUUACAAAGAGCGUACGGGGGAUGCCUUGGCACUGAAAGGCGAAGAAGGACGUGGUUACCUGCGAUAAGCUUCGGGUAGGUGGAAGCAACCUGUGAUCCGGAGAUCUCCGAAUGGGACAACCCACUGAGGGUCAUACCUCAGUAUCAUACACUGAAUACAUAGGUGUAUGAGGCAAACCCGCUGAACUGAAACAUCUAAGUAGGCGGAGGAAGAUAAAACAAUAGUGAUUCCCUGAGUAGUGGCGAGCGAAACGGGAACAGCCCAAACCGUUUGGUCAUAGACCGACGGGGUUGUAGGACUUGCGAUACGGAAGUUGUCAUUAUAGUCGAAGCUCCUGGAACGGAGCACCAUAGAGGGCGAUCGUCCCGUAGACGAAAUAGUGGCAAUACCUAGCGAGUAUCCUGAGUACGACGGAGUAAGUGGAAGUCCGUCGGAAACUGCGAGAACCAUCUCGUAAGGCUAAAUACUCUUCAGUGACCGAUAGUGAACUAGUACCGUGAGGGAAAGGCGAAAAGAACCCUUCAGAAGGGAGUGAAAUAGUACCUGAAACCGUAUGCUUACAAACGGUAGGAGCGAGCCGGGAUUUAUCCCGGGGAGUGACUGCGUGCCUUUUGCUUAAUGAGCCUACGAGUUACUCAUCACAUGCAAGGAUAAGCAUUUCUGAUGCGAAUCCGUAGCGAAAGCGAGUCUGAAUAGGGCGAUUUGAGUAUGUGGUGGUAGACGCGAAACCUUGUGAUCUAGCCAUGGUCAGGAUGAAGGUUGGGUAAAACCAACUGGAGGUCCGAACCGGUGUGGGUUGAAAACUACUCGGAUGAACUGUGGUUAGGGGCGAAAGACUAAUCAAACUGGGAGAUAGCUCGUACUCCCCGAAAUGCCUUUAGGGGCAGCGUCGGAUAAGAGUCUUCCGGAGGUAGAGCACUGAUUGGGCUAGGGCCGUCACAACGGUACCAACCCCAGACAAACUCCGAAUUCCGGUAAGAUGUUUUCCGGCAGUGAGGCCGUGGGUGAUAAGAUCCAUUGCCGAGAGGGAAAGAACCCAGAUCUACAGCUAAGGUCCCCAAAUGAUAGUUAACAGAGAAAGGAUGUCUCGUUGCAUAGACAGCUAGGAUGUUGGCUUAGAAGCAGCCAUUCAUUUAAAGAGUGCGUAAUAGCUCACUAGUCAAGCGACGUGGCGCCGACAAUAAUCGGGACUAAAACUAUCUACCGAAGCUUAGACAACGAAAGUUGGGUAGGGGAGCAUUCUGAUCUGCUGCGAAGGUGGUGGCGCGAGCCCUGCUGGAGCGUUCAGAAGAGACGAUGUAGGCAUAAGUAACGAGAACAAGAGUGAGAAUCUCUUGCACCGAAAAUCUAAGGUUUCCUGAGCUACGUUCAUCGACUCAGGGUUAGCCGGAACCUAAGCCGAGGCCGAAAGGCGUAGGCGAUGGAUGAUCAGUUAAUAUUCUGAUGCUUGUCUGUACGAGUUUGAUGCUAAGGAGGGACCCAGAAGUGAACCAUCCGCGCACGAUUGGAUGUGCGUUGAAGGGCGUAGGCGUUGAGAGGCGUAGGCAAAUCCGCGCUUUGAGCUGAAACCUGACAGUACGGGGAGAUUCGUCGAACCGAGUGGUGGCUAAUCAGGCUGGCGAGAAAAUCUUCGUAGCUAUUGUACAGGCAAUCCGUACCGCAAACCGACACAGGUAGAUGGGUAGAAGAUACUAAGGUGCGCGAGUGAGCCAUGGUUAAGGAACUCGGCAAAUUGACCCUGUAACUUCGGGAUAAAGGGUGCCCCGCGAGGGGCCGCAGUGAAAUGGGCCAACCGACUGUUUAACAAAAACACAUCUCUCUGCUAACCCAAUUGAGGGGACGUAUAGGGAGUGACACCUGCCCGGUGCUGGAAGGUUAAGGAAGGGGGUCAGGCGCAAGCCGAAGCUCUCGACCGAAGCCCCAGUAAACGGCGGCCGUAACUAUAACGGUCCUAAGGUAGCGAAAUUCCUUGUCGGGUAAGUUCCGACCUGCACGAAUGGUGUAACGAGUUGGCCACUGUCUCAACCAUGGGCUCGGUGAAUUUGUGGUACCGGUGAAGACGCCGGUUUCCCGCAUAUGGACGGAAAGACCCUAUGCACCUUUACUGCACCCUGGCAUUGACUUCGGUUAAUGCAUGCGUAGCAUAGGUGGGAGUCGGAGAAGCCGGGGCUUUGGUCUCGGUGGAGACAAUAGUGAAAUACCACCCUUGCUUUAAUUGAAUUCUAACCAGAUCCCGUGAAGCCGGGAGUGGAACAGUGUCAGGCGGGUAGUUUGACUGGGGCGGUCGCCUCCUAAAAUGUAACGGAGGCUCGCAAUGGUACUCUCAGCAUGGUCGGUAAUCAUGCGUUGAGCGUAAUCGUAAAAGAGUGCCUAACUGUGAGACAAACACGUCGAGCAGAUGCGAAAGCAGGCGAUAGUGAUCCGGUGGUGCCGAGUGGAAGGGCCAUCGCUCAAAGGAUAAAAGGUACGCUAGGGAUAACAGGCUGAUCUUGCCCAAGAGUCCACAUCGACGGCAAGGUUUGGCACCUCGAUGUCGGUUCAUCGCAUCCUGGGGCUGAAGAAGGUCCCAAGGGUUCGGCUGUUCGCCGAUUAAAGCGGUACGUGAACUGGGUUCAGAACGUCGUGAGACAGUUCGGUCCCUAUCCUAUGCGGGCGCAGGAAAUUUAAGGAGCCUCGACUUUAGUACGAGAGGACCGAGUUGACCGGACCGACGGUGUGCCUGUUGUUACGCCAGUAGCAUCGCAGGGUAGCCGUGUCCGGAAAGGAUAAAUGCUGAAAGCAUCUAAGCAUGAAACCUACUCCAAGAUGAGAUUUCCCUGAAGGAUCGUAGGAGAUGACUACGUUGAUAGGACCAAGGUGUACGCACAGUAAUGUGUUUAGCCAACGGUUACUAAUAAUCCGUUCGACUUCAUUAU